rfam:Gallid herpesvirus 2 serotype 1 isolate Md5, complete genome.
AACUGUUAUCUCGGGGAGAUCCCGAUCUCUCCUACCAGCAACUCGAGAUCUCUACGAGAUUACAGUU